rnacentral:sRNA from 1 species
AAGAUAUCAACUGUAUUAUUUUGUCUUGGGAUGUGGAUGGCACAGUGUGCUGACGCGAAGACUUUUCCAUGUGAUUUCAACGCCUAUGAAGAUACCAAAGACGGUUUGAUAACAGCAACAGAAUUUACCAACUACGCCAAAAAGCAUGGGUAUGAUGUGGAACAGACUAGUCUUGUUUUCAGUACAUUGGAUUCAAACGCUGAUGGCCAAAUAGAAGGUCAGGAAUUUCGAGAGAAUGUGCGUAAACUUCAGCGUAUGUCGUUGAUCGGACAUUGUACACGUCACACAUUCGUAUUUUGGUAAAAGAAAGACACAGUAAAAUCUUAAAUCCUGUUUCGAUACAGAUUUGACGUGUUUAAAUAAACGCAUUGAAAAAU